UUUACGUAAAGUCGAAAAAUUUAAGUGUGUUGAAUUUUACUUAUUUCUUGCUUGCUUUCCAAGAGAAUCUUCAAUAAUCGGCGUCUUAAUGGAAAAGGUAGAAGGAAUCUAUUCGUUGAGGCUUUAAAUCUAAGUUUAUCGCGGGAUUUUUAACGACAUUCACCGGUUUCGUAAAGCGGUCGUUUGUUUUGGCGCAAUGCGGAAGUGUCGUCUUGAUGCAGUUUUUUGGCUAAAAAGUUGACGAAUUCUUCGUCUCACUACAUCUGUCAUUUGUUUUACGUUUGCCAUCAGUUUUAGGCAGUAACUGUUAGCUGUCGAGAGUACCGGAACAGACUGUGAAGUAUUUCUAUAGAUCUAAAUAUGGUUCGUAAAAAAGGACAGUUUGUCUGGCAUUCGGAAUUCCUACACUAGUGAUCCACGAGGACUUUAUCCAGUUUCCAGAAUGGCAGGAAGGAGGACUUAUUGAAUUAGACCACUUGUCAAGGCAGCUUACAAAAGUCAGAAAUUUAAAAGCAGCCACUGGGCGACAGUAAGCUUGUCUACAUUUUCCAUAAAAUUUCCAAAAUAAAUACUGGGAAAAAAACAUGGAAAUACAUACGACAUUGAUCAACACAAAAUAGCACAGCACCAGAAUGAAUGCGGAAGUUGUCACGAGUGGUGUGGCAUUGUUCCUGUUCAUUUAUGGUUUACAGAUUCCAAAAGUCUGAACCAGAUAUGAGUAGAGUACAGUUUGAGAAAUGUCUUGGUAGAACAGAUACUAAGGAAAUAAUAAAGAGCAGAACAGACCACAUUUCUCCUUCUUAUAACUGGUAAAGUUCCAAGUAAGGGCGAGUACAUAAUAAUAAUGCAGCCCCAGUGGGAGUUCGUGAUGAGGUGUCAAUGUGUGGUCGUUAAAUGAUGUGCAGUCAGAUUGACAAGUAUUUGAAGUAACAUUAAUUUAUAAAUUAUCAAUUCUGAGAGAACUUUUUGCUGAGCUUUGUGCAGGAUACUCUUAAAAAAUACGUGAUUACGGUGAACCAGAAUUUUAUAUUAUAAGUACAAUGUCAGAUGUACUUCAGACUUCACACAUAUGUUGAUGUUUAUACAUAUGUGGUGAUUAAUUUGUCAAGUGAAGAAAUUUUAUGAAUAAUGUUAGUGGGUGACAGAACAGAAGUACAAAGUCAAUUACAGAGGUCGACAACACUGAGUUUAGGAUACAGAAAAAAUCCGGUGAUUCUGACGAAACAACAUACAUAGAAAGAUUAUACUAGUAAAAUGAAAACUUUUAGUGUAUGGAAAAGUUUGGAAACAGGUUUACCAUUGACAGAAGAGACAGUAUUUACAGACUGGUCUACACUUAUUUUGAUUUGACUUUUACACGGUGAUUCCUCCAGUAAACAGCUAGUGAUCUGAGAAAAUUGUGUUCAUUAUAUCACACAGGUUUAGAGUGAAUGUAAAAUUAAUGUGUAUUUAAAUCAAUCAAAAUUUUUCAAAAUUGGAUGUUGAAACUUUACAACUGUUUAGUAUUUCAGUAAUCAGUUAGGAUUUUUGAGUGAUUUCAAUAAAGUACAAAUAAUAAAAAAAAGGAAUCACUAUCAGCCAAGAUGAUGUGCUAUUGUAAAAGAUAGAAAGAAAAUUCACAAGUCACAUUAAUUUGGUAAAAGGGAUUUUAACAGAAUUAAACUAUAAUUGGUGAAGGAUUCUGCAUGUUGUAUCAAAUAGCUAUAAUGUAUUUUGUAGUUCUUUGGAUGUGUCUUCUAUCUAUCUUUUUCAAACUAAAUUUUAUCUCUUAAAUCUAUUGAAAUUGCCAUCAAAAUAAAAAUUUCUUUUAAAAACAAUAUAUUUAACAAUUAAAAGGUAUAUUCAACAAGCCAGUGCUUUGUUACUAAUCUUAGUCAGUGGAAUUUAUUUUUAGACUUGUCCUAUUUUUUUGAUUCAGUUUCUGGAUCCCCAUUUAUUAGUUACUGUACACAUUUUGGGAUUCCAGCAAUUUUCCACAUCCUCAUUACAAGGUAGUAUUGAUUUUUCAUUGGUCCAGUGGUUAACUAAUUUUAGCAUAAAGUAAAACUGUUCUAUUAAUAGAUUUUCAGAAAAUCUGUUUGAGUUAUUUAUACCCAGUAUACAAAUUGAUGUACUUUUAUUUGAUUUGAACAUCCUGAACAAAUUACAGGUUUUCUUUGCUUUAUAUAAGAGAAUUUUGGUAAAUUUCAUUGUUGAAAGGACCAAGGUACUUUUCUCAAAUAGUCAAUUAAUAGAAAUUUUCAAAUAUAAUAUCUUGUGCAGUGAAUUAAAAAGAAAUUUAUUUAUUUCAGUACUAGUCAGUUCUGAACUUGAAAGAUACUUUGAUAGGUUUUUGGUCUACUACACACUUUAUAUAUUUCUAUGGCCUGAUUAGAAGUAGCCUGUUGGCUUAAUUCAGUAACUUAUUAUAGGAAGAAUUAUUUAAGGUAGCUCAACACAACUUCUGCACAUAAUCUAAGGUGAUUUAUUAUCAUAUAUGAUAUAAGAUAAUUUUCAUUGAGAGUCCUACAUACCAGAACAUUUUUGAGUGACACUAAGAAAUAUUUUAGAUUACUUGGGGUGGUUCACUACCUGUUAGAAAUAUUUAAGGUGAUUAACCAUUUGUUAGAAAAUGAUAAUACGGUACGGUACUGGGACUUGUUUUUGUAGGCAAUUAUCACAACAUGAAAUUUUAUAGGUGCUGAAUUGGAGGUCAUUUCCUCCAUGGUUAUUGUCGUGGUGUUUAUAACUCCCCCGCCACAAGGGGUGGGGGUUAUAGGAAUGGUCUCUGUCCAUCCUUCCCUACUUCCUUCCUUCCAUAAUAUUUUGUGUAUAUCCUAAACCCCUUGAACAUGUUGAAGGAUUUUCAUAAAUCUUGGUUCAAAUGAUCACCUCAUCAAGACAAUGUGCAGAACCCAUGAGUCACCCAUGUCGGUUCAAGGUCAAGGUCACAACUCAAAGCCUUCAAUUUUGUGUCUGCUCUGUAUCUCCUAAACCCCUUCAAGUGUGCUGUUAACAGACAGCUUUUGUGAUAAUUAUAUCAGGAGCACAUAAUUCCGGACAAGCUGGUCUAAUCAUACCCAAAAUUGAGUUAUUCCAAGAGCUUGUGCUCGUAUACAUUGCCAUUAAAUCUGAUCAAAAUUGUUAUGAAAAUGUUCAAACUAGAGCGUUAAAAUUGUCAAAUAUUGCAACUUUUUAUAUAACAGGGACAGAUAACUCUGGACUUGCUAGUCUGAAAAUGCCUGAAAUCUAGGUCUUGCAAGACCCUUUGGCCGUACACAUUGUCUAUUUUAGACAAUUUUCUAAGUUUAUUCGAGAUUUCUUUAAAUAAAAAUGAUACAGUUGUAAAAAAUUGGUAAAUAUUGCUAUUUUUUACUAUAUCAGGGGCACAUUACUCUUGAUAUACUGGUUGGAUCAUCCCCAUAUUGCAACACAUUCCAGAUUAUGUAGCCAUGCAUAUUGUUUUUAUACUUUGGUGAAGAUUGUUAUAGUAAUAUUCAUGCUGGAGUGUUAACAAUGCUAUAUAAUUCAUACUUAACUUUAAAAAAGUGGGUGGGGUAAUAUUACAUCUGUUUUUUUAUGAUGAAAUGUCGAUGUAAAUGGUUUGGAACUAUUUUGUUAUUUAAAAUUAUGUUUUGCACACAUGUUCAUAUUGUUAAGGCGUUUUUUUUUUUUUCAUGAAAAUAUUUGUUGUUAUAGCUUAUUUACCAGCAAACCCCAAUAUUCUAAAAUUUUGGUACUUUCAUGAUAAAAUACAGAAUAUCUCUCUUAUAUGUUCGGUGACCCCCAAUUUUUUUACCCUUAUUUUGAAGCAAUUUUGAGACACAAUAUAUACAAAGAGUAUUUCAAAAAUCUUAAUUGUAGAAAUAAUGUUAUGCUAUCUUUAGACUGAUACAAGUACUGGUCCCAUUGGAAAAAAGUGGGUGGGGUAAUUAUAUUGCCUUGUGAAAAUGAGUAACAGUAUUAUGUGAAAAUCAUUAAAAUUUCAUACUGACUUCAUAGCAUAUUCAAACUGAAUUGUUAGAAAUACAAUUAUUUUACAACUGAUAAA